UUUUUUUUAAUUAGCAGUGUCCCCAAAUUAUUUUAACUAGCGAAGGGAAUUAUGGGUUGCAAUCUCAUUGUUCCUUUGAUCACAGCACUAUUCCCAAAAUAUUAAUUAUUUUAAUAGUUUUUAGUUGUUUUACUAAUAAAUUUAAUUAGUAACUUUUUAUCAUCCAUUCUUCUAAUUUUUAAAUACUAAUAUUUUGACCUAACUUAAAAAUU
rnacentral:lncRNA from 1 species